AGAGUUUGAUCCUGGCUCAGGACGAACGCUGGCGGCGUGCUUAACACAUGCAAGUCGAGCGGUAAGGCCCUUCGGGGUACACGAGCGGCGAACGGGUGAGUAACACGUGGGUGACCUGCCCCCAACUCUGGGAUAAGCCCGGGAAACUGGGUCUAAUACCGGAUAUGACCACAUGUCGCAUGGUGUGUGGUGGAAAGUUUUUCGGUUGGGGAUGGGCCCGCGGCCUAUCAGCUUGUUGGUGGGGUGAUGGCCUACCAAGGCGACGACGGGUAGCCGGCCUGAGAGGGCGACCGGCCACACUGGGACUGAGACACGGCCCAGACUCCUACGGGAGGCAGCAGUGGAGAAUAUUGCGCAAUGGGCGAAAGCCUGACGCAGCGACGCCGCGUGGGGGAUGACGGCCUUCGGAUUGUAAACCUCUUUCGCCAGGGACGAAGCGCAAGUGACGGUACCUGGAUAAGAAGCACCGGCCAACUACGUGCCAGCAGCCGCGGUAAUACGUAGGGUGCGAGCGUUGUCCGGAAUUAUUGGGCGUAAAGAGCUCGUAGGCGGUCUGUCGCGUCGGUCGUGAAAACUUGGGGCUUAACCCUGAGCUUGCGGUCGAUACGGGCAUGACUGGAGUUCGGCAGGGGAGACUGGAAUUCCUGGUGUAGCGGUGAAAUGCGCAGAUAUCAGGAGGAACACCGGUGGCGAAGGCGGGUCUCUGGGCCGAUACUGACGCUGAGGAGCGAAAGCGUGGGGAGCGAACAGGAUUAGAUACCCUAGUAGUCC
rnacentral:rRNA from 1 species